rnacentral:lncRNA from 1 species
GCCUUCUUCCUGCCUUCCUUAGCUAGAGUAUCCGCAACUCCGUUAUCCCUCCUAUCUUCAUGGUGUAUCAACGUGAUCCCCAACUCCUGAAGAAGAUCCCUGCACAUUAUGAGUAAGUUGUUAUCGGAUACCACUGCAUCAUUAACUGCACAUUAUGAGUAAGUUGUUAACGGAUACCACUGCAUCAUUAAGAGCUGAGGCCAAUGUAAUGGAAUAUGUGACUACAAUAAGCUUAGUACAAUGCAUUUUCUUUGCUAUUUUAAGCCCCAAGUACAAGGCUAAUGUUUCCGCAUGUAGAGGAGAUUGAGCAGCAAAUUUAGCAUUAAAGCCCCAUACGCAGUCCCCAUGCAUAUCUUUAAGUAAACGGUCAGCCCCUCCAACAUUCGAAUUCGAGUCAAAUGAACCAUCAACGUUGAGUUUCAUCCCUUCAUCCGGGGGAAUCUAGCAAUGGUUUGAGCUUAAGUUAUUCCUGAUGUUUCUAUGUUUCCCUCUCUAAAAU